rnacentral:rRNA from 1 species
GACGAACGCUGGCGGCGUGCUUAACACAUGCAAGUCGAACGGAAAGGCCCUGCUUUUUUGGUGUGCUCGAGUGGCGAUCGGGUGAGUAACACGUGAGUAACCUGCCCUUCACUUUGGGAUAACUUCAGGAAACUGGGGCUAAUACCGUAUAGCAUCUCCUGCUGCAUUGUGGGGGUUGGAAAUUUUCGGCGGUUGGGGUUGGACGCGCGGCUUAUCAGCUUGUUGGUUGGGUAGUGGCUUACCAAGGCUUUGACGGGUCGCCGGCCUGAGAGGGUGACCGGGCACAUGGGGACUGAGAGAGGGAGCAGAGUGGAACGGGAGGCAACAGGGGGGAAUAUUGCACAAUGGGAGGAAGCCUGAUGAAGAAACGCCGCGUGCGGGAUGACGGCCUUCGGGUUGUAAAAAGCAUUCGGCUGUGACGAAGCGUGAGUGACGGUAAUGGGUAAAGAAGCACCGGCUAACUACGUG